rnacentral:rRNA from 1 species
GACGAACGCUGGCUGCGUGCUUAACACAUGCAAGUCGAACGGAAAGGCCCUGCUUUUGUGGGGUGCUCGAGUGGCGAACGGGUGAGUAACACGUGAGUAACCUGCCCUUGACUUUGGGAUAACUUCAGGAAACUGGGGCUAAUACCGGAUAGGAGCUCCUGCUGCAUGGUGGGGGUUGGAAAGUUUCGGCGGUUGGGGAUGGACUCGCGGCUUAUCAGCUUGUUGGUGGGGUAGUGGCUUACCAAGGCUUUGACGGGUAGCCGGCCUGAGAGGGUGACCGGCCACAUUGGGACUGAGAUACGGCCCAGACUCCUACGGGAGGCAGCAGUGGGGAAUAUUGCACAAUGGGCGGAAGCCUGAUGCAGCAACGCCGCGUGCGGGAUGACGGCCUUCGGGUUGUAAACCGCUUUCGCCUGUGACGAAGCGUGAGUGACGGUAAUGGGUAAAGAAGCACCGGCUAACUACGUGCCAGCAGCCCGCGGUGAUACCUAGGGUGCGAGCGUUGUCCGGAUUUAUUGGGCGUAAAGGGCUCGUAGGUGUUUGAUCGCGUCGGAAGUGUAAUCUUGGGGCCUAAACCUGAGCGUGCUUUCGAUACGGGUGACUUGAGGAAGGUAGGGGAGAAUGGAAUCCCUGGUGGGAGCGGUGGAAUGCGCAGAUAUCAGGAGGAACACCAGUGGCGAAGGCGGUUCUCUGGGCCUUUCCUGACGCUGAGGAGCGAAAGCGUGGGGAGCGAACAGGCUUAGAUACCCUGGUAGUCCACGCUGUAAACGGUGGGUACUAGGUGUGGGGUCCAUUCCACGGGUUCCGUGCCGUAGCUAACGCUUUAAGUACCCCGCCUGGGGAGUACGGCCGCAAGGCUAAAACUCAAAGGAAUUGACGGGGCCCCGCACAAGCGGCGGAGCAUGCGGAUUAAUUCGAUGCAACGCGUAGAACCUUACCUGGGUUUGACAUGGAUCGGGAGUGCUCAGAGAUGGGUGUGCCUCUUUUGGGGUCGGUUCACAGGUGGUGCAUGGCUGUCGUCAGCUCGUGUCGUGAGAUGUUGGGUUAAGCCCCGCAACGAGCGCAACCCUUGUUCACUGUUGCCAGCACGUUAUGGUGGGGACUCAGUGGAGACCGCCGGGGUCAACUCGGAGGGAGGUGGGGAUGACGUCAAGUCAUCAUGCCCCUUAUGUCCAGGGCUUCACGCAUGCUACAAUGGCUGGUACAGAGAGUGGCGAGCCUGUGAGGGUGAGCGAAUCUCGGAAAGCCGGUCUCAGUUCGGAUUGGGGUCUGCAACUCGACCUCAUGAAGUCGGAGUCGCUAGUAAUCGCAGAUCAGCAACGCUGCGGUGAAUACGUUCCCGGGGCU